rnacentral:rRNA from 1 species
UACGGAGGGUGCGAGCGUUGUCCGGAAUCAUUGGGCGUAAAGGGCGCGUAGGUGGCCGGGUCAGUCAGUGGUGAAAGCGCGGGGCUCAACUCCGCGUCGGCCAUUGAUACUGCUGGGCUUGAGCACUGUAGAGGCAGGCGGAAUUCCGGGUGUAGCGGUGGAAUGCGUAGAGAUCCGGAAGAACACCGGUGGCGAAGGCGGCCUGCUGGGCAGUAGCUGACACUGAGGAGCGAAAGCGUGGGGAGCAAACAGG